AGGACGAACGCUGGCGGCGUGCCUAAUACAUGCAAGUAGAACGCUGAUGUUUGGUGUUUACACUAGACCUGAUGACGUUGCGAACGGGUGAGUAACGCGUAGGUAACCUGCCUCAUAGCGGGGGAUAACUAUUGGAAACGAUAGCUAAUACCGCAUAAGAGUGAUUAACACAUGUUAGUUAUUUAAAAGGAGCAAUUGCUUCACUGUGAGAUGGACCUGCGUUGUAUUAGCUAGUUGGUGAGGUAAAGGCUCACCAAGGCGACGAUACAUAGCCGACCUGAAGGGUGAUCGGCCACACUGGGACUGAGACACGGCCCAGACUCCUACGGGAGGCAGCAGUAGGGAAUCUUCGGCAAUGGACGGAAGUCUGACCGAGCAACGCCGCGUGAGUGAAGAAGGUUUUCGGAUCGUAAAGCUCUGUUGUUAGAGAAGAACGUUGGUAGGAGUGGAAAAUCUACCAAGUGACGGUAACUAACCAGAAAGGGACGGUAACUACGUGCCAGCAGCCGCGGUAAUACGUAGGUCCCGAGCGUUGUCCGGAUUAAUUGGGCGUAAAGCGAGCGCAGGCGGUUACUUAAGUCUGAAGUUAAAGGCAGUGGUUAACCAUGGUACGCUUUGGAAUUGGAGGACUUGAGUG
rnacentral:rRNA from 1 species